rnacentral:snRNA from 1 species
AUCUGAGUGCAAGGGCUUUACGCGUAUCAGUGAGGAUUCGUCCGAGAUCGUGUUUUUGCUAGUUGAAAACUAUAACUAUGACCACUCCUGGUUGGCUUCGGCCGGCCAGGGAAUUUUUGAACCCCAAUUCUCAUGAAGAUUUUUUCAUUUUGC